CCUCAAUCUGUCUUCCUCAUACUACAGCUGUCGUCCCCCGCGUGUUCCUUAACGAAAUAAAAAUGAUAUGAAGUUCGAUGAAGCUUCGAGAAAAUUAACUGCAGACAAUUCUUUGUAAAUACAGACAGGAACAAUGAUGAGCAAUCGCCAAUAAUAUAUGGAGAAAUGUCAGAUCCUACACUGUCCGUAAUGAAAAGUACAUCCAGCCUUCAACCCACACCGACAGCACCUGACGCUGUUAUAAAAGCAGACGUGUCCAGUUUUCAUUGCUUUGAACAGUGGCCAGAUCAAUGUGAUUCUGUCUGCAGUAAGCUUGUGCAUCAUACCAGGACUUCAUCUUCUGGAUCAUAAUAUACCCAUAAUGACAUGAGAUGGUCUGGGUG